GGAGGGAUCAUUACGAAAGGAGUAUUCCGGUACUCUUCAACCCUUUGUGAACUUAUUACUCGUCUGUUGCUUCGGCGGGAGGCCCCUGGGAGGGGCCCCGGGGCCCGGUCCUGAGCCGGGCUCCCGCCGGAGGAGCACAAAACUUAAAACUCUUGUUGUAACCCAGUGGCACGUCCGAGUCAAAACAUAAAAACAAGUUAAAACUUUCAACAACGGAUCUCUUGGUUCUGGCAUCGAUGAAGAACGCAGCGAAAUGCGAUAAGUAAUGUGAAUUGCAGAAUUCAGUGAAUCAUCGAAUCUUUGAACGCACAUUGCGCCCGCCAGUAUUCUGGCGGGCAUGCCUGUUCGAGCGUCAUUUCAACCCCUCGGGCCCUGGUGCCUGGCGUCGGGGCUUUCCCGCUCACCCGGGAAGCCCUUAGAAACAGUGGCGGACCCGCCGCGGCUCCGAGCGCAGUAGUCAAAUUCUCGCUUAGGAGGUCCGUGGGGGGGGCUUUACCGGCCGUUAAACCGGGCACUCGUGUCCACUUUUACAAGGUUGACCUCGGAUCAGGUAGGAAUACCCGCUGAACUUAAGCAUAUCAAUAAGCGGAGGAAAAGAAACCAACAGGGAUUGCCCCAGUAACGGCGAGUGAAGCGGCAACAGCUCAGAUUUGAAAUCUGUCCUCACGGACCGAGUUGUAAUCUGUAGAGGAUGCUUCUGGCAAGGCGCCGUCCGAGUUCCCUGGAACGGGACGCCGGAGAGGGUGAGAGCCCGUACAGGCGGACGCCGAGCCUCUGUGAAGCUCCUUCGACGAGUCGAGUAGUUUGGGAAUGCUGCUCAAAGCGGGAGGUAAAUUUCUUCUAAAGCUAAAUAUAGGCCAGAGACCGAUAGCGCACAAGUAGAGUGAUCGAAAGAUGAAAAGCACUUGAAAAGAGGGUUAAAAAGCACGUGAAAUUGUUGAAAGGGAAGCGCCUGUGACCAGACUCGCGCCCGGCGGAUCAUCCGGCGUUCUCGCCGGUGCACUGCGCCGGGCUCGGGCCAGCAUCGGUUCUAGCGGGGGGGAUAAAAGCGGCGGGGAUGUGGCUCCCCCCGGGGAGUGUUAUAGCCCGCCGCCCAAUGCCCCCGCCGGGACCGAGGACCGCGCAUUUAUGCAAGGAUGCUGGCGUAAUGGUCACCAGCGACCCCGUCUUGAAACACGGACCAAGGAGUCAAGCAUUAGGGCGAGUGUUUGGGUGUAAAACCCGCACGCGAAAUGAAAGUGAACGUAGGUGGGAGCCUCGGCGCACCAUCGACCGAUCCUGAAGUCUUCGGAUGGAUUUGAGUAAGAGCCUUAACGCUUGGACCCGAAAGAUGGUGAACUAUGCUUGUGUAGGGUGAAGCCAGAGGAAACUCUGGUGGAGGCUCGCAGCGGUUCUGACGUGCAAAUCGAUCGUCAAACAUGAGCAUGGGGGCGAAAGACUAAUCGAACCAUCUAGUAGCUGGUUACCGC
rnacentral:misc_RNA from 1 species